UUGGCCUAUUGAACCUCUGUUU
rnacentral:miRNA from 1 species